rnacentral:rRNA from 1 species
UCCAAUAGCGUAUAUUAAAGUUGCAGCAGUUAAAAANCUCAUANUUGAAUUUCGAGAUCAAUAUGUUGGUCGUGCCUNGGUACNUACUAGCUUAUUGAUUUCUUCCUUCUGACGAACCAUGAUGUCAUUAAUUUGGUGUCNUGGGGAAUUAAGACUGUUACUUUGAAAAAAUUAGAGUGUUUAAAGCAGGCUCACGCUUGAAUACAUUAGCAUGGAAUANUGAAAUAGGACAUUUGAUUCUAUUUUGUUGGUUUCUAGGAUCAAUGUAAUGAUUAGUANGGAUANNUGGGGGCAUUAGUAUUCAAUUGUCANAGGUGAAAUUCUUGGAUUUAUUGGAGACUAACUACUGCGGANGCNUUUGCCNANGAUGUUUUCNUUAAUCAAGAACCACAGUUAGGGGAUCAAANACGAUCCGANACCGCCGUAGUCUUAACCAUNGAACUAUGCCGACUAGGGAUCGAAUGAUGUUAAU